AGCUCCAAUAGCGUAUAUUAAAGUUGUUGUGGUUAAAAAGCUCGUAGUUGGAUCUCAACAGCCUUGAAGCGGUUAACUUUGUAGUUUUACUGCUUUGUAGGCUGUGCUUUUGCUGGAGGUUUAGUGGUGCUCUUGAUCGAGUGUCUCUGGAUGCCAGCAGGUUUACUUUGAAAAAAUUAGAGUGCUCAAAGCAGGCUAAAAUGCCUGAAUAUUCGUGCAUGGAAUAAUAGAAUAGGAUGUCGAUCCUAUUUUGUUGGUUUUCGGGACUCGACAUAAUGAUAAAUAGGGACAGUCGGGGGCAUUUGUAUCAACGCGUCAGAGGUGGAAUUCUUGGAUUGCGUUGCGACAAACUACUGCGAAAGCAUUUGCCAAGGAUGUUUUCA
rnacentral:rRNA from 1 species